GCUAGGAACAGAACCCAGGUACCCAGAAG
rnacentral:piRNA from 1 species